UAUUUAGAUAGUUUUCUGCAUCAAAACCUACAAACUGGCACCCUGCGUAGGGCCGGCUUAAGGGAAAGGCCACCAAAGCCCUUGCUUUAGGCCCCCACUUGUUUUAGGCCCCCAAACCCGUUUGCCAUCUAUCUCUAUUGCAUCCAGCCAUCCACCAGCGAGAAGAUGAAUGGCACCCGAAAGGGAGAUGGAGAUGGCAAGAUGGCGAGAUGGGAGAUGGUGUGACAGGAGAUGGCCACCCCUAACAUCUAUCAGGGCUGUCUUCUCGUCGGAGAUGGUGAGAUGGGAGUCAUAGCCUCACAGGACUUGGGAGUGGUUCUUGGUGAAAAGGCAGAGGGCGUCAUUGGUGGAGAAGAGUGGGUGCCCGUUGGGGUCGCGGGCGAAGAAGUCGGCAAUUCGGACGAUGGGGUUGCUGGAGAGCUUGCAGAGGGAGGUCUCGAGGCGAACGAGGGUGACACCAGCAAGGAGGCCAUCAGAGACACCGACGACACUGCCGUUGAUGGAGAGGAUGCGGAUCCAUCUGACGGCUAUGGUCUGGCUUGAGGGGCAUUUUUCGAUCUCUGAUGGGGGACAUUCCAGAUUUGAGAGGCAUCUCUAGCGGUGGCGGAGUUUCAGGCUUUCGACAGCGGGUGGUUUCCGAGCUUUUGACGGCUGAGCGGUGGCAAGGAAGGUGGAAGGGUGCGACAGUAUUUAUUUUUUCUCUCUAAAGUUGCG
rnacentral:lncRNA from 1 species